ACCUGGCUGGCUCAGUUGGUAGAGCAUGGGACUCUUGAUCUCAGGGUUGUGAGUUCGAGCCCCGUGUUGGGUG
rnacentral:tRNA from 1 species